rnacentral:lncRNA from 1 species
AGACGCCUCAAGGCUGCGCGCGAAGACACGGCGCAGGCAGACUCACAGACGGGGCUCCCCCACCCUGGACACGGCGGCAGCGAGUUGGGAAGCCCAGGAAACCCCGGGUUCCCGUCGGAAGCCUCCCGACCUCGGGAAGGGCGAGUCUUAAAGGAGCCACUCCUAGUUGAAGACUGGACCGUGGGAAUCCGGGAGAAUCCCUCCCUCAGACCCAGAACCGAAGAUUCAGAGCAAGAACGGGGUGAGGUUCUGCGGAAAGAAUGAAAAUAGCGCUCGGUGGAGAAGACCGCAGCGUGUGGUAUCCUACACUCCUUUCCCCCCAACCACACACACACCCACACCUAAAUCUGAGAAGUGAGGCGGCGGCGUAAUAUGGAAGUGAGUGCGGUGACUCCUGCCCUAGCUGUCAAGCCCCUGAAUCCUAUAAUUAUAAUCCUCUUCUAGGGACCAGCUGGAACUGAGAGCUGUGUGACCUUGACCAAGUCACUUCCCUUCCCUGGAUCUUAAUUAUCUCAGCUGC